rnacentral:rRNA from 1 species
GACGAACGCUGGCGGCGUGCUUAACACAUGCAAGUCGAACGGAAAGGCCCUGCGUUUGUGGGGUUCUCGAGUGGCGAACGGGUGAGUAACACGUGAGUAACCUGCCCUUGACUUUGGGAUAACUUCAGGAAACUGGGGCUAAUACCGCAUAGGAUCUCCUGCUGCAUGGUGGGGGUUGGAAAGUUUCGGCGGUUGGGGAUGGACUCGCGGCUUAUCAGCUUGUUGGUGGGGUAGUGGCUUACCAAGGCUUUGACGGGUAGCCGGCCUGAGAGGGUGACCGGCGACAAUGGGACUGAGAUACGGACCAGAAUGCUACGGGAGGCAGCAGUGGGGAAUAUUGCACAGUGGGCGGAAGCCUGAGGCAGCAACGCCGCGUGCGGGAUGACGGCCUUCGGGUUGUAAACAGCUUUCGCCUGUGACGAAGCGUGAGUGACGGUAAUGGGUAAAGAAGCACCGGCUAACUACGUG